AAUAAACAUAGUCAGAAAGGUUCUAUUUUGUUCCUGCUGCUUAGUGUGAGUGGGCUCCCAUGAGCUUCAGAAGGAAUGAAAGGAGAAAACAAUUAAUUCUUCUCUGGAAAAGAUGAUCUGUGGUCCAGAUAAUCCUGGAUCUUGGCUGACCCACCUGAUGAUGCUGAACAGUAACAGGUAGAUUCUUUGCUUUGUGCCGAAAAUUAAAGGUGGCAUGAGCUCACAGGAGAAAACCAGAAGAGAAAUUCCAGGGAAAAGCUAAAGGUGUUUUUCCAGAGGAAAUUGUGCUGUUUAAAUUUUGAGUCAGAAAAUGUACUAUUUUCAUCUUCUCCAGGCAACAUUUUUCUGAAGUGGCAACUCCAAGCAACUG
rnacentral:lncRNA from 1 species